rnacentral:rRNA from 1 species
AGGGUUCGAUUCUGGCUCAGGACGAACGCUGGCGGCGUGCCUAACACAUGCAAGUCGAACGGGGUUAUAUAAGAAGCUUGCUUUGAAUAUAACCAAGUGGCGGACGGGUGAGUAACGCGUGAGGACCUGUCUCCGGCAGGGGGACAACAUUUGGAAACGGAUGCUAAUACCGCAUAAGCCGAGAGGUGAAAGGAGCAAUCCGGCAGGAGAGGGACUCGCGUUCUAUCAGCUAGUAGGCGGGGUAAAGGCCCACCUAGGCGAAGACGGAUAGCCGGACUGAGAGGUCGACCGGCCACACUGGAACUGAGACACGGUCCAG